CAACAUGACAUACAAGUGGGAAGGAAUCUAUAUGUCUCUGCAGAACAAAAUCAAUUCCCCAUACUUCACUGUUAUACAGAACAACAGGUUCAACAAUUGCCUUGAAAAUUUUGCAGCAGACUGUUGGAUCUAAAUCAUCUCCAAACAAGUUAGAAGAGAGAA